AACAGGCUCUUCCACGGCAAUCUCUUGUCGUCAGUAAGCAACGUUUAGGGAGCUCUAUAGUAUUCAAUGAGAGGACCCUGCACGUCAAUUCUCGACGCGAGGGGGGUACCCUGCGCGUCGAUAAGUGAAGCAGAGGGAGCCUGACCAUGCGUCACACGUUUGACGAGUUGGGAGUGAGAACGUGUUGGCUUUGAACGCGACAGACCAGACUGCCUUCCUGGCUAUGAGGUUAAAAUAAGCAGUGGAAGAACAUUUUUCCUCAGACCAAACACCGAGUGGCUUAAAAGGAAAAUAAAUGAGAGAACUCUGCUGUGUCCUCCAAUGUUUUCAGCUUAAAUAACUGAAGCUAUUCAUCUUUAAUGAGUCCUCCCACUAUAGUUUGUAUAUUCCAGCUGC
ensembl:lncRNA